rnacentral:rRNA from 1 species
UACGGAGGAUGCAAGUGUUAUCCGGAAUCACUGGGCGUAAAGCGUCUGUAGGUGGUUUGCUAAGUCCGCUGUUAAAGCUUGAAGCUCAACUUCAAAAUGCAGCGGAAACUAGUAGACUUGAGUGUGGUAGGGGUAGAGGGAAUUUCCAGUGAAGUGGUGAAAUGCGUAGAUAUUGGAAAGACCACCAAUGGCGAAGGCACUCUACUGGGCCAUAACUGACACUGGAGAGACGAAAGCUAGGGGAGCAAAUGGG